rnacentral:lncRNA from 1 species
GUCAAUCAUACACACACGCAUGUGCACAAACACACACAUGCAAAUGCACACACAUGUUUGUGUGUAAAUAGUUACCUUGUAAAGCGUUUUGAAAUUUGUUCUUUUCUACAGGGACUAAUAUACAAGGCUUGACAGGUAAAACUGGAAGAGGUGUAAUAAAGGGACGAUUCAAGACACAAUCAAGGAAUCUCCUUGACACUGAUACAGAGCACUUCCCAAAUGCUGUUGGAAGGAGUAUGCUGAAGAGUGGUAUCAAGACACAAUCCAAGAGUCAUCCUGGUAAAAAUUUACUUAAAGGCAAAAAUACAUUUUUACAGCAAGAAAAUGUCUAUGCCAGACACGUUGCACCAAGUAAAUAUAAAACAAAAAUAGUUACUUUAUCACCCUUUGAAGAUGAAGGUAAAUUUAUAUAUAAAGGUAUUAAAAUACUGUAUAAUUACAUAGAAUAGUUCUUGUGGUAUUUUUUCCUUCUUUUUGUAUCUUACUUUUUCUCCAGAAAUAUCUUAGAUAAACCCUUGCAAGCCUGAAAAUGAAAUAACUUUAAUUUCUCCUUUUUAC